UACGUAGGGUGCGAGCGUUAAUCGGAAUUACUGGGCGUAAAGUGUGCGCAGGUGGCCGCGCAAGUCGAGUGUGAAAUCCCCGGGCUUAACUUGGGAAUUGCGCUCGAAACUACGUGGCUCGAGUGUGGCAGAGGAAGGUGGAAUUCCACGUGUAGCGGUGAAAUGCGUAGAGAUGUGGAGGAACACCGAUGGCGAAGGCAGCCUUCUGGGCCAACACUGACGCUCAUGCACGAAAGCGUGGGGAGCGAACAGG
rnacentral:rRNA from 1 species